GUAGUCUCAAAAGGUUGAAGAGCGGUGAGAUCCAUGGUGUCCAAAGUAAUGUGGUAAGAGGAAGCAGCAGAAUGCGUGGACUGGUUGUAUAUACUUAUACUACUGAGCUCUAUGUUUUUCUCCUAAUAUUAAUCAAGAAAGAAUUGUAUGACAAAAUACAUGCAUAGACAAAGAAACAAGAAGAUCAUGUACAUAUAGAGCGAGUUUAAUCAAAGCUGGAUCGGAGCAAAUUGUAACGAUGAAGCCGAGCCUAGCAUAAAGGAUAAUUAAGGCAGGAC